GAUGAACGCUGGCGGCGUGCCUAAUACAUGCAAGUCGAGCGAACAGACGAGGAGCUUGCUCCUCUGACGUUAGCGGCGGACGGGUGAGUAGCACGUGGAUAACCUACCUAUAAGACUGGGAUAACUUCGGGAAACCGGAGCUAAUACCGGAUAAUAUAUUGAACCGCAUGGUUCAAUAGUGAAAGACGGUUUUGCUGUCACUUAUAGAUGGAUCCGCGCCGCAUUAGCUAGUUGGUAAGGUAACGGCUUACCAAGGCAACGAUGCGUAGCCGACCUGAGAGGGUGAUCGGCCACACUGGAACUGAGACACGGUCCAGACUCCUACGGGAGGCAGCAGUAGGGAAUCUUCCGCAAUGGGCGAAAGCCUGACGGAGCAACGCCGCGUGAGUGAUGAAGGUCUUCGGAUCGUAAAACUCUGUUAUUAGGGAAGAACAAAUGUGUAAGUAACUAUGCACGUCUUGACGGUACCUAAUCCGAAAGCCACGGCUAACUACGUG
rnacentral:rRNA from 1 species